rnacentral:rRNA from 1 species
GACGGAAGGUGCAAGCGUUGCUCGGAAUCACUUGGGCGUAAAGGGUGCGUAGGUCGGCCGUGCAAGUCUGGCGUGAAAGCCCCGGGCUCAGCCCGGGAAGUGCGCUCGAAACUGCGCGGCUCGAGUGCCGGAGGGGAGAGUGGAAUUCCUGGUGUAGCGGUGAAAUGCGUAGAUAUUGGGAGGAACACCAGUGGCGAAGGCGGCUCACUGGACCGGAACUGACGCUGAGGCGCGAAGGCGUGGGGAGCAAACAGGG